UGGAGUUUGAUGUUAUCCGAUCUUCGGUUAAUAGACGUUUCGGGAGACUUUCCGACGUCUAUGGUUUUAUUCUGGUGAGUUUCUCGGAAUCUACGAUUUCCGGUGAACGGAUCUAGGGUUUUUAUCUGUCGAUUGAAGGCCGAUCUUCUCCGGUCGCGAAGAAGGAGGGUAACUCUGUUCUUACUCUUAGUAUUGUUUGUCUUGCAUGUGAAUUCUGAUUCUGUUAUACUUUGUUUACCAAGACUGUUUCCUUCUCAAAAUUGAUUUGCUGUUUAUGGCUUCUAAUAUGAAUGCUAGUACCUCCUCAGUAGACUCUACCAGUCCCCUUUUCAUUUACUCCUCUGACGUCCCUGGAGUUUCACUUGUGUCCACUCCCUUCUCGGGCAGUGGUUAUGGGGGCUGGAGGAGGAAAAUGAUUGUUGUUUCACUUGUGUCCACUCCCUUCUCGGGGAGUGGUUAUAGGGGCUGGAGGAGGAAAAUGAUUGUUGCACUCUCUGCCAAAAAUAAGAUUGGCUUUGUUGACGGCUCAUGUCCCCGACCUGUUAAUAAUGUGGCUGAACAAAAGCUAUGAGACAGAUGCAAUAACAUGGUGAUUUCUUGGUUAACUGCUUCCCUGUCCCCUCAAAUUGCUGAUAGUGUACAAUAUUCUGAUACUGCACAAAGCAUAUGGUCACAAAUUGAGAACAGAUAUGCCACUGCCAACAGGACCAAAAUUUUUGAGUUAAAAAGAGAACUCUCUCACACAUCUCAAGGCUCUUUAGAUAUAGUCUCAUAUUUUAUUAAACUCAAGGGUCUGUGGGAUGAGUUGGGCACAAUGUGCAAAAAUCAU
rnacentral:lncRNA from 1 species